UACGAAGGGGGCUAGCGUUGCUCGGAAUUACUGGGCGUAAAGGGCGCGUAGGCGGAUAGUUUAGUCAGAGGUGAAAGCCCAGGGCUCAACCUUGGAAUUGCCUUUGAUACUGGCUGUCUUGAGUACGGGAGAGGUGAGUGGAACUCCGAGUGUAGAGGUGAAAUUCGUAGAUAUUGGGAAGAACACCGGUGGCGAAGGCGGCGACCUGGUCCGAUACUGACGCUGAGGCGCGAAAGCGUGGGGAGCAAACAGG
rnacentral:rRNA from 1 species